rnacentral:rRNA from 1 species
GACGAACGCUGGCGGCGUGCUUAACACAUGCAAGUCGAACGGAAAGGCCCUGCUUUUGUGGGGUGCUCGAGUGGCGAACGGGUGAGUAACACGUGAGUAACCUGCCCUUGACUUUGGGAUAACUUCAGGAAACUGGGGCUAAUACCGGAUAGGAGCUCCUGCUGCAUGGUGGGGGUUGGAAAGUUUCGGCGGUUGGGGAUGGACUCGCGGCUUAUCAGCUUGUUGGCGGGGUAGUGGCUUACCAAGGCUUUGACGGGUAGCCGGCCUGAGAGAGUGACCGGCCACAUUGGGACUGAGAUACGGCCCAGACUCCUACGGGAGGCAGCAGUGGGGAAUAUUGCACAAUGGGCGGAAGCCUGAUGCAGCAACGCCGCGUGCGGGAUGACGGCCUUCGGGUUGUAAACCGCUUUCGCCUGUGACGAAGCGUGAGUGACGGUAAUGGGUAAAGAAGCACCGGCUAACUACGUG